UUUUCCUCCUCCUCCUUUUCCUCCUGCUCCUUCUCUCUCUCCUUCUCUCCAUCCCUUCCUCCAUCACUACCACCUUCUCUUCCCAGGAGAUCACAUAGUUAACGAGUUAUAAAGGCUAUGUAAUAACUCAACCUGUGGACUGUAAUCCUGAUGGUAACCUGUUUCCCAGACCAUGCGUGCAUGUGAGAGAAGGCUGGAAGAGAGGGUGUCAG
rnacentral:lncRNA from 1 species